UUCAACAGGCUCUGAGCACGCGGAAUACAGAGAACCUUCCCUUCCCCCAGGUCCCCUGCUCUGUGGCCGGGGCACGACUCAGUGGCCGUGCUCUUUCCUCACAGGAAGCAGGCUGCUUGGUGUGGGGCACGCAGUUUCCUCAAACCCACAGUGAGGGCUGAAGCUUUGAUUCCCAGCAGUUACUCCCUCCACUGAGCUUCACGGGGCAGGCCUUCAGAGCUCCCAGCACAGAAAGCCGGGGACUGGAGGCAACCAGCGCUGUGUGCUCUAGAGGCUUCCUGGGAUGAAGUACUGUUUCCUCACCUGUGGACCACUGCAGACAGGG